rnacentral:rRNA from 1 species
UACGGGGGGGGCAAGCGUUGUUCGGAAUUACUGGGCGUAAAGGGCUCGUAGGCGGUGUGUCGCGUCGGCCGUGAAAACCUGGGGCUUAACUCUGGGCUUGCGGUCGAUACGGGCAUCACUGGAGUUCGGCAGGGGAGACUGGAAUUCCUGGUGUAGCGGUGAAAUGCGCAGAUAUCAGGAGGAACACCGGUGGCGAAGGCGGGUCUCUGGGCCGAUACUGACGCUGAGGAGCGAAAGCGUGGGGAGCGAACAGG